rnacentral:lncRNA from 1 species
UUUGAGCUAACUGGAGAAGCAAAGCGAUGUUGCCGCCACCGCCAUCUCAUUAUUCCUGUUAUCAAAGGGCACUGUCAUCUUUUAUUACCACUACGGAAGAAAGAAACCAAAUGAAGAAUAAGACAAGUCAGAAACUUCAACAUGAACUCAUAAUUUUUUUAGAAAAAACCACAUAGAUCAAAAGAAGAUCUCACCCAUUUUCCAUCGCAACCAAAAUAUAAAUGAAGCAUGGAAAAAAGAGGAUCCACUUAAGAUUAGUGAUGGGUACAUGCAAAACCAGAUUUUACCAAAAAGAGAAAGAUUGCAACAGUAAAAGACUAAGAAAACUAGGAACCAUAGUUUGAGAAUGUGGAGUCCAAUGCUCCUAUCACCGAUUUGUAUUGAAUCACUAAGGUAAUAACAUCGGUCUCGACUCCAAUAGAUAACCACCACUAGAAUCGAGCCCUCUCAAUGGUCUUUUUGCCUCUAGAUCAAGAAAAAACAUGCAGGCAAAUCCUUUCAUGAAAAACACCUGCAAAAACAGAAAAGAAAAUAAAAAAUAAAAUAAUAUAAAAUGAAAUACCAACAUGUAUAUCCUACUUAAAAUAGGAGAAGAAAAUCCACAAAAUUUGAGUAAGAAGAGGAGUGCUCCCUUGCUCCAAAGGGUAGGAGAAGCCGAUAGAAGAAAAUGACUUGUUUUU